rnacentral:lncRNA from 1 species
CCCUCCUCCUCUUCCUCGCAGAAGAGCCGGCUGGCGCUGAAGGCUCGGGAGAACGUGCUGCUGCUGGCGGGGCUGCCCCAGGAGGCGGCUGCCACCUGCCUGGCGCGGGACAGUGCCCUGUGCCAGCUGCUGACGGGCCACCUCUGUGACCUGUACAGCGCCGUGCCCGCCGGCACCGACCCCGCCGACGUCCUCGCCAUGGACAGGGCCAGCUGGAGGGCGCAGGGGGACGGUGCCAGGGACGGUGCCAGGGACGGUUCCAGGGACGGUUCCAGGGACGGUUCCAGGGACGGCGCCAGGGACGGUUCCAGGGACGGGGCUUUCCCAGGGAAGGAGAGCCUGGCGGAGUUCCUGGGCUGGCUGGAUUUCCUGGAUGAGCUGGUGAUGGGCGCCCACCCGCUCGUGGCCGACGCCAUCACCGAGGCCGUGGAGGAGAAGUUUUUCCAGGGAAUGCUGCAGCCGCAGCUCCUGCAGAUGUGAGUGACCCCAGCUGGGGUGUCCUGCCCCUCAGGACCCCCUCGGAGCCGGGAGCAGGUUUUGGGGGGGGGGGUGGGGAGGGGUUCCCCUUUUUCCCUGGACAACCCCCCCGCCCCCUUUUCCACCCCGGCAGGUCGGAGCUGGCCGUGCUGGGCGCCACGGCCGUGCUGACGGGGACGGUGCGGCAGCUCCGCGCGCCCGCCCUGCUCCACCGCCUCGUCCUCUUCCUGCUGGGGCCCCAGCGGCACCCCGAGACCCCCGGGGACGCCCCCCACCCGCUGCGGGCGCAGCUCAUCGACCGCUGCGACCACCUGUGCGACGAGGUGAGCUCACCUGGGCGGGCAGGGCCGGGCGCGGGGUGGGGGUCUCACCCUGCCGGCUGUGAAAAACGCUUGGUUUUAUUAAAAGUUUACAAGUUUAAUAAUAAUAAUAGAAUGGUUAUCAAAAUAAUAAUGCAAUUAGUAGUGAAUUUAUAAAUUUAUAUCAAUGAAUAUAUGAAUUACUAAAUAAAUUUAGUAAUCAAGGUUAGAGUGAGGACA